UCUCUCGCGCACAACGGCGCUCUUUAAGUCCCGCGCGCAGCACAGAGAGCGCAUUCAUACAGCAGCACACGGACACGCGCAGCGGAGAGAGAGAGAGGGAGAGAGAGAGGGAGAGAGAGAGAGCUAGAGAGAGUGGGAGUCACACAUCCUUCAAUUAUUCAGAACACCAGCAGCCUGACUGCGAAGGCCAAGCAGAAAGGAGGUGUUUGAGGGGAGAGUGUUCAAAGAGACGUCACACGAAUGGAAAGAACUUUACAAAGAAAUAAAGUUGCCCUAAUGGCCAAAUUAGCCCAGUAAAGGGUUUACUGA